UACGUAGGGGGCAAGCGUUGUCCGGAAUUAUUGGGCGUAAAGAGCGCGUAGGCGGUCCGAUAAGUCCGCUGUGAAAGUCCAGGGCUCAACCCUGGGAUGCCGGUGGAUACUGUCGGGCUCGAGUCCGGAAGAGGCGAGUGGAAUUCCUGGUGUAGCGGUGAAAUGCGCAGAUAUCAGGAGGAACACCAAUGGCGAAGGCAGCUCGCUGGGACGUGACUGACGCUGAGACGCGAAAGCGUGGGGAGCAAACAGG
rnacentral:rRNA from 1 species